UUUUUUUUAUUGAAUUUAUUUGAAAACGUUUGAGAUAGCUGAUUUAAGACAGUCAGUAAAUUGACACAAAAGGUUUAAUCCAGAAUGCUGGAGACUGUGACUCAUGGGGAAGUUUGCUCCAUUUUGCCAACACAAGUGUGUUUCCCACCGUGGACAACAGCUCUGACUUCAACCCUGACCAUGAGCACAACAUCACCAAACCACACAAAUGCCUGCAGGUCCUGUACGACGACAUCGGGCACUCCAGGGUUCGUUACUGGGACAUGAUGCUGCUCGUCC